rnacentral:rRNA from 1 species
GACGGGGGAGGCAAUCGUUAUCCGGAAUCACUGGGCGUAAAGCGUCUGCAGGUGGUGAUGCAAGUCACUGGUGCAAAACUCUGGCUCAACCGGAGGAUAGCCAGUGAAACUGCAUGACUAGAGUGUGGGAGAGGUAGAAGGAAUUCCCUGAGUAGAGGUGAAAUGCGUAGAUACAGGGAAGAACACCGGAGGCGAAAGCGUUCUACUGGAACACAACUGACACUGAGAGACGAAAGCUUGGGGAGCGAAUAGG